rnacentral:tRNA from 1 species
GGUCUUGUAGUUUAUAAAAAAAACUUUAAAUUGCAAAUUUAAUAAAGAUUAAUAAAUCUAAGUCCU